rnacentral:lncRNA from 1 species
UAAAUUAAAACAUCCCCCUGGAGGACGUAAGCCAGUGUGAGAAGCCGACACACUGAAGCAGAGAGAGAGAGAAAGAGAAGAAGAUGGGUGUGAAAGUAUAUUCAAUUGACGUCCUGAGGGAGCCCAAAGUAGGAGUAAUAUUCUCAGCUGAGCAAGGGAUGAAGGUUGAGACGAUAGGGCCAAGGUUUAAGCAGAAGCAGGGGAGUGUGUUUCCGAGGAAGAGGAAGCUGGUUAAAAAGAUGAUCCUAGAAUCCAUAGUUAAGUCUUUAACUUCUCUCUUUCUCUCGUAUGGGUGUUCCCAAUCUUAGUACACCAAAAUUUCAGUUUCCAAGUAACUUGUUACAUUUUUAUUAAAGGUCUUUGAUUAUGUUGUCAAGUAGUUUUUUAAUCAUUCAUAUGUUAUGUUGUAACUUCUUUUAUAUGGAUAUUGAGUCUUUACUCUUCAAUGGCCUAGCUAUGUGUAAUGGCCUCUGUUUUUAUAUAUUUAAGUAUUAAGGAG